rnacentral:rRNA from 1 species
UUUUAGGUGUGGCAUGCUUAACACAUGCAAGUCGGACGGGAAGUGGUGUUUCUAGUGGCGGAUGGGUGAGUAACGCAUAAGAACCUGCCCUUGUGAGGGAAAAAAUAACUGGAAAUGGUUGCUAAUACCCCGUAGGCUGAGGAGCAAAAGGAGGAAUCUGCUCGAGGAGGGAUUCGUGUUUGAUUAGCUAGUUGGUGAGGUAAUAGCUUACCAAGGCGAUGAUCAAUAGUUGUUCCGAGAGGAUGAUCAACCACACUGGGACUGAGACACGACCCAGACUCCUACGGGAGGCAACAAUGGGGAAUUUUCCGCAAUGGGAGAAAGCCUCAUGGAGCAAAUGGGAUUAGAUACCCCAGUAGUCCUAGCCGUAAAUGAUGGAUACUAGGCGCUAUGUGUAUCGACCCGUGCAGUGUUGUAGCUAAUGCGUUAAAUAUCCCGCCUGGGGAGUAUGUUCGUAAGAAUGAAACUCAAACGAAUUGAUGGGGGCCUGCACAAGCGGUGGAGCAUGUGGUUUAAUUUGAUGCAAAGCGAAGAACCUUACCAGGGCUUGACAUGUCGUGAAUCCUCUUGAAAGAGAGGGUGCCUUCGAGAACGCGGACACAAGUGUGCAUGGUUGUCGUCAGCUCGUGCUGUAAGGUGUUGGGUUAAGUCCCGCAACGAGCGCAGCCCUUGUGUUUAGUUGCCACCAUUGAGUGUGGAACCUUGAACAGACUGCCGGUGAUAAGCCGGAGGAAGGUGAGGAUGACGUCAAGUCAUCAUGCCCUGGGCCAAUGGCCAGGACAAAGGGUCACGAUCCCGCGAGGGUGAGCUAACUCCGAAAACCUGUCCUCAGUUUGGAUUGCAGGCUGCAACUCGCCUGCAUGAAGCCGAAAUCACUAGUAAUCGCCGGUCAGCCAUACGGCUGUGAAUUCGUUCCCAGGCCUUGUACACACCGCCCGUCACACUAUGGGAGCUGGCCAUACCCGAAGUCAUUACGUUAACCUCAAGGAGGGGGAUGCCGAAGGCGGGGCUAGUGACUGGAGUGAAGUCGUAACAAGGUAGAUGUACUGGAUAUGAGCAGGAUG